rnacentral:rRNA from 1 species
GAUGAACGCUGGCGGCGUGCCUAAUACAUGCAAGUCGAGCGAACAGACGAGUAGCUUGCUCCUCUGACGUUAGCGGCGGACGGGUGAGUAACACGUGGUUAACCUACCUAUAAGACUGGGAUAACUUCGGGAAACCGGAGCUAAUACCGGAUAAUAUAUUGAACCGCAUGGUUCAAUAGUGAAAGACGGUUUUGCUGUCACUUAUAGAUGUAUCCGCGCCGCAUUAGCUUGUUUGUAAUGUAACGGCUUACCAAUGCAACGAUGCGUAGCCGAACUGAGAGGGUGGUCGGCCACACUGGACCUGAAACACGGUCCAGAGUGCUACGGGAAGCAGGCGUAGGAUAACUUCAGCGAUAGAGGAACGCGUUAAGGAGCAACGCAGCGUGAGUGAUGCAGGUCUUCGGAUCGUAGAACUCUGUUAUUCGGGAAGUAAAAAUGUGUAAGUAACUCUGCACGACUUGACGGUAACUAAUCGGAAGGCCACGGCUAACUACGUG